UCACCGCUUACGCGGGCAGUUUCUCUAGAGUCCCCGACAUUACUCGCUGGCAACUAAAGAUAGGGGUUGCGCUCGUUGCGGGGCUUAACCCAACACCUCACGGCACGAGCUGACGACAGCCAUGCAGCACCUAGUUUCGUGUCCCUUGCGGGCCAUUCCGCUUUCACGGAAUUUCACUAACUUUCAAGCCCAGGUAAGGUUCCUCGCGUAUCAUCGAAUUAAACCACAUGCUCCUCCGCUUGUGCGGGCCCCCGUCAAUUCCUUUGAGUUUCAACCUUGCGAUCGUACUCCCCAGGUGGAUUACUUAACGCUUUCGCUUGGACGCGUACGGUGUAUUGCACACAUCGAGUAAUCAUAGUUUACAGCGUGGACUAC
rnacentral:misc_RNA from 1 species